rnacentral:rRNA from 1 species
GACGGAAGGUGCAAGCGUUGCUCGGAAUCACUGGGCGUAAAGGGUGCGUAGGCGGCCGUGUAAGUCUGGCGUGAAAGCCCCGGGCUCAGCCCGGGAAGUGCGCUCGAAACUGCACGGCUCGAGUGCCGGAGGGGAGAGUGGAAUUCCUGGUGUAGCGGUGAAAUGCGCAGAUAUCAGGAGGAACACCGGUGGCGAAGGCGGUUCUCUGGGCAUGUCCUGACGCUGAGGAGCGAAAGUGUGGGGAGCGAACAGG